CCAGACUCCUACGGGAGGCAGCAGUGGGGAAUAUUGCACAAUGGGGGGAACCCUGAUGCAGCGACGCCGCGUGGGUGAAGGAGCACCUCGGUGCGUAAAGCCCUAUCGGCAGGGAAGAAACAGACGGUACCUGACUAAGAAGCCCCGGCUGACUACGUGCCAGCAGCCGCGGGAAUACGUAGGGGGCAAGCGUUAUCCGGAUUUACUGGGUGUAAAGGGGGCGCAGACGGCAACGCAAGCCAGGAGUGAAGGCCCGGGGCCCAACCCCGGGACUGCUCUUGGAACUGCGCGGCUGGAGUGCAGGAGGGGCAGGCGGAAUUCCUGGUGUAGCGGUGAAAUGCGUAGAUAUUAGGAGGAACACCAGUGGCGAAGGCGGCCUACUGGACGGUGACUGCCGCUGAGGCUCGAAAGCGUGGGGAGCAAACAGGAUUAGAUACCCCUGUAUC
rnacentral:rRNA from 1 species